AUAAUUCCCUGGCAGGGGGAGAUACCAUGAUCACGAAGGUGGUUUCCCCAGGGCAAGGCUUAUUCAUUGCACUCAGAUGUGCUGGCCCCUGCAAUUUCCUCAAGUGUGGGAAACUCAGCUGCAUAAUUUGUGGUAGUGGGGACUGCGUAAUUUUAUAUAUAUAUA